rnacentral:rRNA from 1 species
ACUUUUGCCGGCGAGCGGCGGACGGGUGAGUAAUGCCUGGGGAUCUGCCCAGUCGAGGGGGAUAACUACUGGAAACGGUAGCUAAUACCGCAUACGCCCUACGGGGGAAAGCAGGGGACCUUCGGGCCUUGCGCGAUUGGAUGAACCCAGGUGGGAUUAGCUAGUUGGUGAGGUAAUGGCUCACCAAGGCGACGAUCCCUAGCUGGUCUGAGAGGAUGAUCAGCCACACUGGAACUGAGACACGGUCCAGACUCCUACGGGAGGCAGCAGUGGGGAAUAUUGCACAAUGGGGGAAACCCUGAUGCAUCCAUGCCGCGUGUGUGAAGAAGGC